UGGGACUGUUCUGUACAAGCAUGCUGUUGAGAAAGAUAUGGGCAAUUUGGACAACAGACAUCCAUUUUAUUCACAGAAGCAAAAUGAAGAUUUUGCUGCGUUAGAACAGCAUAUUGAAGAUUUAACACAAGAGAAGUUUUCUUCACAACGUGCUCUUGAGGCUUCACGAGUUCUAGCAGAGUCUCUAGCUGCUGAAAAUUCAGCCCUGACAGAGAGUUAUAAUCAACAGGGCAGUUUUGUUACCCGG
rnacentral:misc_RNA from 1 species